CCGCGUCUUUGAUCGAAACGUAAACAAAUGUCCAAGGUGGUUUGAAACCAUUCGUGAAGUUUAAAAAUUCUGUAAAUGAAAACAUCGAAUUCCACCUUUUAAACCACCAUGAAGUCGUUGAAACAUUCUAAGCAUGCACAAAAUAAAAAAGGACACAAAACAAGACGGCAGCUUAGAGCACAGGAAGCAGCAGCCGCUAAACGGCUAGUAGACGAUGCAAAUGCACAGAUAAAUCCCCUGGCAGCACUUACUUUUCAUACUUUUACAGCUAAGGACGAAUCUGUAAUGGACGUUAUAUGUAGCCGGGUAGCCGAUUUACCCGAAGAAACUCUUACUUGGAUAUUUAAUUUAAUGGAACGUAACAUGAAAGAAAUGUAUGAACAGUCGAGUUGGGGUUGGGAUCUGGUUUCAAAAAAGCAGGAAUUAACUGAACCAGCAGCUUGGUAUUUGGUUGCUUCUUCUAAAGAUGAACUUUUAGGAUUUUCUCAUUUUCGAUUCGAUAUCGAUCACGGAGUGGAGGUGUUGUAUUGCUAUGAAUUGCAAUUGGAACCCAUAGCAAGGCGUAAAGGACUUGGCCAGUUUUUAAUGCAAACCUUAGAAUCAAUGGCAUGCCACAGUCAAAUGCAAAAAGUUGUACUAACUGUGCUUAAACACAACGUUACAGCUAUUCCUUUUUUUCACACACUAGGGUAUGUACUACUAUUAUUUUUAUUAACCAUUACCCACAUUCAUUGUCAACAGUACCACCUAAGUCUUAAAUAUAAUUUGUCUUGUAUGAAAAAUUUAUUAACAAUCUGUUAAAUGUAUAAAUCAACCGACACAUUUAGGUAAUAUUGUUACAGCUACAAACUGGACAACACGAGCCCACCUGCCUCUGAGAAAGUGGACUAUGCCAUCCUGAGUAAAUAUGUGUGAAAUAAAUUGCAGUCAUUGUGACGGAAUAAUACAUAUUUUGCAGAAAGGUACGUCUGACCCUUUUGUACUUUUUAACAAACGUGUUCUAAAAAUUCGAGCAUUGAUUCUCGCCUUUUCUCGAGUUUCUGCAAAUGUUCAAUGUUUAGCUUUUUCCUGUUUGUGGAAUGAUCUUAACUUUUUCCUCUGCCGCAUCGAAUUUAAAAAUCAGUACACGAGGGAAUGCAUUAAUGGACGAAUAAUGGAGACACAUACGAGACACUGCUAUAUGUGAAGAAAUCAGAGGAGACACGAGAAUUACAGUCCAACGAUUGGAACGUGUUGAUAAAAAGUACAGCCGGUCAGCUGUUGCCUCGUUGAAAAAUAUGUAAUCCUGAGUGAACGGUGACACCACCUGCCACCGAU